rnacentral:rRNA from 1 species
AUACGUAGGGGGCGAGCGUUGUCCGGAAUGAUUGGGCGUAAAGGGCGCGUAGGCGGCCCGGUAAGUCUGGAGUGAAAGUCCUGUUUUUGAGAUGGGAAUUGCUUUGGAUACUGUCGGGCUUGAGUGCAGGAGAGGUAAGUGGAAUUCCCAGUGUAGCGGUGAAAUGCGUAGAGAUUGGGAGGAACACCAGUGGCGAAGGUGACUUACUGGACUGUAACUGACGCUGAGGCGCGAAAGUGUGGGGAGCAAACAGGAUUAGAUACCCUGGUAGUCCACACUGUAAACGAUGAAUGCUAGGUGUAGGGGGUAUCGACCCCUUCUGUGCCGCAGUCAACACAAUAAGCAUUCCGCCUGGGGAGUACGGCCGCAAGGUUGAAACUCAAAUGAAUUGACGGGG